rnacentral:rRNA from 1 species
UGGGGAAUAUUGGACAAUGGGCGAAAGCCUGAUCCAGCAAUGCCGCGUGAGUGAUGAAGGCCUUAGGGUUGUAAAGCUCUUUUACCCGGGAUGAUAAUGACAGUACCGGGAGAAUAAGCCCCGGCUAACUCCGUGCCAGCAGCCGCGGUAAUACGGAGGGGGCUAGCGUUGUUCGGAAUUACUGGGCGUAAAGCGCACGUAGGCGGCUUUGCAAGUUAGAGGUGAAAGCCCGGGGCUCAACUCCGGAAUUGCCUUUAAAACUGCAUCGCUAGAAUUGUGGAGAGGUAAGUGGAAUUCCGAGUGUAGAGGUGAAAUUCGUAGAUAUUCGGAAGAACACCAGUGGCGAAGGCGGCUCACUGGCCUGGUAUUGACGCUGAGGUGCGAAAGCGUGGGGAGCAAACA